UGCGUUCGUCUAUUGAUUCGCGCUGCGCCAUCGCGCAAUACCAAUCAUGUCCAAGCACAUCAUCAUAGCAGUUACAUGUCCUCACUCGUAGUAAAUGGUCUUUCUUGGAUUUGUUGCUUGAGGAUGAUAAUCUAGUCUUUGGAGGUAUUGACGUAGCAAUGCCGAAGUAGGACGUGAUUCAAAUUUCCGUAUUUUCUUCUUCUUGUGUAUUGAGUUCGGUGUUGCGUAGAUUAAACACCGCGGAGUUUAAUUACGUAAGUUGAGGACAUGUAAUGAAGGGGUUGGUCUAUUGAGGUUUAGUCGGGGUUUUUGCAAGGUCAGGGUGCAAUGGUGAUCCUGCAAGAGAAUUUCGGAGCGGACUGGAGACUCAGACAUUGCUACAUUCCAUAAAGACAUCUGUGGGCGUAUGCGAGGAGUGAAUGCCAUCGAGGGAGCAGGUACUUGGAUGCGAUGGCGCACAUCAUGCGACUCCUGUGCCGAGGCUACUUCAUCGAGCAACAUCAUCUUGUGUCAGCAUCCUCUUGGCAUUUAUCGCACGUCUCUUCACUAGCCUGUAGAUUUUAAACUGCUUAUCCAUGACCUUUCGGAAGUAGCCCAUGGCGUUAAUGCUGCAGUUAAGUCUUUAGCAAACAAGCACAUGCUUGCUGUUGCAGCGGGGCACAAACUUGAUCGGCAAGUUCAAUUCUGUGACUGAAGUGCAAAAUUUUGCUCCUGACAAAUUUUAAAAUUAAAACCAUCUGUCAAAUUCUAAGCGUCGGAACUUGUAAUUCAUGGUUUCACCACUGAGGAAGAAUUGUAUGCUGUGCAUAUUUCUUUCAAAAUCAGCUCGACUUUGUGCAGCACAUAGGGGAGGUGGUCUUGUUCAUAUUUGUAUGUGAUGAAAAGAAAUAUGACAUCGUGAUGAGACAAGACUAAUUUUUACGAGUUGCAUGUUUUUUCUAGUAAACGUUGUUGUUGGCUCUCAUAACGUAGGAUCCUUAUUCAUAACAUCUCUUGAACCUAAUACUUAUACAUCUCUUGAACUUGGGCUUGACAGAAUAGCUCUCUUGAUACUCUAGUUGUGAUGAUCGAGCGAGUAGAGAGGCCUGUCAUCUGUCGUCUCGCUAUGACCUUCGUCCUGAAUGUGCAGAAUCACAUUGUUCGAGUGACUUUGUUUACACAACGCCAUCAGCAGGUGCAGAUUUUGCUGAAGUUUUGGACCAAAGUGUCCAUGACACUAAAACUUCAUCAAACUCUUGGUUCAAAAUAAUCAGUGGUGCUCUCUUUUGGUAUAAUCAGGAGGAUGUGAAAGGCAGUAAAGUUGUUUCAGCUACUCAGGAGCUGCAUGUGUCAAGAGAUGUUGAGCUUGUAAAGGAGAGCGAGGCAAGGGUAUACUACCCAACAUGUUAACCUACAAGCCCAUCAUGUCCUGUCUUGCUAAAAAGGUAAAAGUAGACCAGUUCCAUGAACUUGCGAAGUGGAUAGAAGAAGCCGUAGUGCCCUCUGAUGGGGUGUUUAUAUACUACGAAAUCCAACUUUAUUCUGUAGUCUCGUGAUUUUGAAAGAGCAAUAGCUCUUUAUCUCGCUUGCAUCAGAAGCGGCCUUCGUCUCUGGAUGGUGAGUACUUUUGAUGACUUUCUUGAAGGAGAUGUUUCAGGACGUGUUGCUUCUGCAUACUAAGGGUUUACAUUAUUCUUGAGGCAACGACUCCUUUUGGAUAAAUAUCUUCCGAUUCGUUUUCUGAUAACCUUUUUGGCGAUUAAAAGUACUCUGGUUUGUUUUUCGUGAGUAGGCUGAUUAUUGCAAAAUUUUGUGUAUUAAUGCGUAUAUUAUUUUGUAUAUUGGAUUCUCCUGUGAGAGAGAGGAAGACUGAUGGGGCAGGAAUGAUCUAAUGGCAUGGGGAACAUUAUAGCUCGGUUUAUGAUGGCGUUGGCAAAGGAUGAUGAAGUAUCUAUUAUGAUGGACUUGGUUGCUAAAGUUUUUCCCACCAUAAAUUCAAAUACCAAGUGAUUGCCGCUUUUCAGUGUCUCGGCAGGCAUUUGCAACCUGAUCCCGCCCUUCUAUCUUCCUCUUUAUUGAAAAAUUAAAGGCAUAAAUGAGCAACAGAUGGGGUUUUACUUGAACGUCUACAUUCAAGGAGUCAGUCAAGUCGACAAGGAUUUGCACUUUACGUGGGAAAUCGUAUGGGAAAUCUGCAAGAUUGUUACAAGCACUUAUUUGCACGAGGUUCGAGAGACCCAGUGGGCAUUUUGCUUCUUGCUGCGCUUCUAUCUAGGAAACUCAACUUUAUAUUGAUAAUUACCCAGUCAGAUUUCGCAAGGCCUUGAUCUCUUGGAUGAGAUGCAAGCAAGGGAGUUAGAGCCAUCUUCUUUUUCAUUGAGCCCGUUUAUUAGCGAAUUUGAAUGGAAGACAAUGAUUGAUGAGGAUGGAUACAUGUGAGGAGUUGUAGGAACUAUAUAUGUAUGGCGCUCUACGUCGGUAUGAAUAUUAAGAAGGCUUUUCAAGUUAAAUUACUAACACUUGCCUUGGUCUUGAUGGAAGGUAGGCAUUUGAAAUGAAAGCGGCAAUGUUUACACUGGAAGUGUAGCCAACUGUGGUCACAUACCACUGAUAAGUUCUGGCGUUAAGAUUGGGGAUCUGGAGAAGGCGUGUAGAUUAUUUCCUGAAAUGAAGAAGCUUGGUGUGGAUGUCAAUACUUAUUGCUAUAACCUCUUAUUCAGCGCUUUGUUGUACAGGAAUGGUUUGAUGGAGCACCAGCAGUUAUGAAGGAGAUGGAUGCAACCGGUGUGAAGCCAGAUGUUCAUGCGUACCGUCUUCUAAUAUUUGCAUGCUCCCUGAGCAAAGAUGAAGACCGAGCGGAUCAGAUGAUUAGGAACUUAGAAAAAAGUGGGAAACAGCAGGAAUUGAGGCCAAGAGUGCUGUUUUGCAUGGGAUUUCUGUAACUGGCCGCGUGGAGGAAGCCCUAGAUUUAUAUGCCGCUUUCAAAAUGGAACACGCAGCGCUUGGGAAAGUAGGGAACUUGAACAGGAUGUUUGAGGUGUUUGAAGAUGCUCGAGGAGCUGAUAAGUGGAAUUUCAUGAAUUUAAGGCAACAUGCUGAGCAUCUUAACGUCCGAUGUUUAAAUGCAGUUUUGGCAUGUAUCCAUCACAACCAGCUUGGUUUCUGCGCUAAAUCAGCUAGUUGAGGUGAUGGAAAGACGUGAAGCCAGCACAAGAACAGCAGCAAACAGGGCUAUGGGGGUACAAAUCCGUGAGCGGCCAUCGAAGCGGCAAAGAAGAAGCUUUGAGACAGGUGAUCAAGAUGAGUCACAGGAUAACAGUUCAAGUAGUAUGCUUAUCAUUUUUGGAGCAGAGAAUACAGAAACCACUUGUGGGAGUUUGGAGAGCGUUUGCUAUAGUCCUUUACUGUAUGGCAACUUGCUCGCUCUUCUUCUGUGUGUGUUCUGGGAGUCAACAUUGGCAGUUCAAAUUCAAUUGCACAUGUAGGAAAUUUUCAAUUCAUUCAAGUUGUCAUUUAUGAGCUCCUGAUAUUGUGCUGUUGAUAGAUUUUUUACCUUGGUCAACCUAUGCAUCACAAAUUCUUUUUCAGAAUUUAGAUGCAAACGCGGACAAUCGUCAAACUGCAGCAGAGUUUCUGAGCUGGAUAAUUUGCCCCUCAAGUUCGAAAGAGAGCUUACAUCGUUUCUCAAAUUCUUGAAGCUGCUGAAGAUGGGCAGUCUAUUUGUAAUGAAAGGAUGAUUGUAGGGAAUCGUUUAGAAAACCUGAUGGUACAAGAAAGUUACUGGACUUCAAGCAAUAUGGAAUGGAUUGCUUUCCAUUCACGCCUUGUAGCAUCUGUGAAUCACCCGUCAAUUGUGCCGGCGAUCAUGUCAGUGGGGGAACACGUCAUGUCUCAAAUUCGUCCAUAUUGCAAAAUCUGACAGCAUGGCUGUUGAGAUUGCGCAAUCUUGGAAGAGAGCUUCAAGUGCUGCACUUUGAAGGUGGAGAGCUUCAACAAUGUUACUCUUCUUACUCCUUAUGAGUUUCUGAAGGUUCUUAGACCCUGGGAAAGAAGGGCUUGCUUGGUCUCUAUCUGCUUUUGUCUGCCUCUAUCGUCUGCGCACUGAUCAUUCACAAAGGGAAUCUCCAGCCUGGUGGAGAAAUUCAAUCGUAUUUAUUCCGAGUCUGGAUUCUUGGUAUCGAACCAAGGUUGGCGGCGAAUUCAAUUUUGCAAUGUCGUGUGUGGCUGAUUCAUUCUAGGGGUCCCAACCUUCUUGUGUGAGUGUUCGAACUUGAAAGCUAUCUCAAUCCUCAUAAGCUGGGUAAUUUGCAACAUUGACAUCAACAUUUGCCCUUUUCCCUCGAUCUUAAUUGUUCUGAUAACACCUUUUUGGUGGGAGGCUUUUACAGGAUGUAAGAGCAGUAAAGCUGCCCUCUUCGUUCACCUUGAUACCAAAAUGUUUUUGCUAGUUUAACCCCUGGUCAAACCUCGUCAUCUUACAGCAUGUGAUUCUAGAUUUACUGUCAGACGGGUUGUUGCAGCUUGUGUUCAUCAUUGGGUGCAGUCAAGUGUGAUGAACUCAGAGAAUGUAGAAACUAUGUAUCAUGGGAGCAUUCAAAUGCUAGAGGAUUUACACACUGGUUACAGGCUUACAACCUGAGCUGGUGCAAUCCGUGGUGACACCGAUUUGGCUGAGGCGGUAGGAAAUUUAGAACUGUACAUAAAACAGUUGAAGACAUUUUAUAACAUAGUAGGAAUGGGAAGGAUACUUGGGUGCAUGUUCAGCAAGGUACAUAUUACCUUGCCUCUUUUGUGAAAUAAGGAAAAGUGACUAUUUCUUGCA